GACUGCGGAGGACAUUA
rnacentral:rRNA from 2 species